rnacentral:rRNA from 1 species
UAGGUAUGACGGUUUUACAUAAUUAAUAUUUUUUGAUUAUAAAAUAAAAUUUUAAUUUUAAGUAAAAAUGCUUAAAUAUUUAUAAGGGACGAUAAGACCCUAAAAACUUAUAUGUGAAUUUAUUUAUAAGAUUAAUAAUGAAUAGAAACAGAUUUAGCUGGGGAAGUGCGUUAAUAAUAAUUUAGUUUUAUAUUAACUUUAAACUUAGAUUAAAGUUCCUUAAAAUUAGGAUAAUUAGAUAAAGUUACUUUAGGGAUAACAGGGUAAUAAAUUUGAAGAGAUCUUAUCGAUAAAUUUGAUUACGACCUCGAUGUUGAAUUAAAAUAGUUUUAUAGAGUAGAAAAUAUAAAAACAGGUUUGUUCAACCUUUAAAUUUUUACAUGAUUU